CAGUCGCCACGGGAAUACGAAGGGGGCUAGCGUUGCUCGGAAUGACUGGGCGUAAAGGGCGCGUAGGCGGCGAUCAAAGUCAGGCGUGAAAUUCCUGGGCUCAACCUGGGGGCUGCGCUUGAUACUUGGUUGCUUGAGUGGGGAAGAGGGUCGUGGAAUUCCCAGUGUAGAGGUGAAAUUCGUAGAUAUUGGGAAGAACACCAGUGGCGAAGGCGGCUCACUGGACCGACACUGACGCUGAGGCGCGAAAGCGUGGGGAGCAAACAGGAUUAGAUACCCCGGUAGUCCCUGUCUCUUAUAC
rnacentral:rRNA from 1 species